rnacentral:lncRNA from 1 species
UGCAUGAAGAUGAUUUUGUUAGGAUUGUGAGAUUCAAAGAGCCCUGAGACACAAAACCAUCCAAGAGUUUCAUUGAAAAACUUUUAUUCUUUAUAUUUAUGACACUGAAAUACAAUUUGCAUAAUAAUUGUGAACAUACUGUAUAUUACAAUGUAUAUAUAGUGUCUAAUUUUCAGGAAGAAUUAUGGCCCCGAUCCAAUAAAGUUGACAUUUAAUUUAGCUUGUGCCACCUGUGAUUGGAAAUGAAAACUAAUGUAUUUGUCCAUAAUGUUGUUGACUUGUUCGUGGAAGCACAGAUACUCACUCUCGAGACUUUUUAUGAUGAUUUGUUGUUCCACAGUUUUGAUGCCUGUAAAACAAUCUUUAGUCGUGCACAUUUCACAUUGGGAUUACUGUGAAGAUAGUGUAUUUAUCCUGACUGACAUUUGACCAGAAGUGCUGCACAUGCGCCAUACGAGAUUACGAUUUCGCUUAUUGGGCCGUGUCUUUAUUAUAAAUCGUAGCAAGUGGCGUCGGCGUCCUGGUCCACACGGUUUGAUCUGUCCACACUGCAGACGUGAACAGUAACAGUGAAUUAUUCUCAAACUAUUUUGCAUCCUGGGAGAGUUUUUCCAGUGUUUCCGGCAGAGUCAGAUGCUCCUUCAGCUGUGGAUCCUUGUUCUGUCUCUGUCGUCUCUGUCUGGGCGGCUCUGACCUCCUCACUCUGAGUCGACUCUUCUCUGUUUUCAGGACUUUGAUCAUUAAGUUGUGUUUUACCAACAUUAGAGCAUAAAUCAUUGAUCUCUGUUUCAUCCACGACAGUCACCUUCUCUUCUCUUUCCCCAGACUCCUGAGCAGCUGCUGCCAGAUGUUUCUUCUCCUUCGUCAUGAGUUCAAACUAUGCCUUCACCUUAACUUUCCUCUCAUCUUUUUUCCGAAUUUUCUCGUCAAUUUUCUUAAUUUCUUUGUCUGUCUGAUCAAUGAUGCGACUGAACUCUCUAAUGUGUUCCCUUUUUUUGCUAUUGUAUCAUGUUCUUUCUUUUUGUCUUUGCUUUGGUUCGGUAACUUUUUUCCUUUUCCCUUAAUACCUUGAUGUCUUCCUCCAGAUCAUACUUACAUUGACGCAUUUUGUCUUUAAGCUUUACCAAAAAGUCCUUUGACUCCAACAGUUUCUCAGACUCUUCAAUAAACUGUAUUUCCUCUGAGAUCCUCAAACAGGCCUCCUUGUAUUCAUUCAGCUUCUGCUCAACACUGUGUGGUUUUGUCUCUGUUUUCAGCAUCGGCACCGACUCUUCAGUUUCCUCCAGUUUGGCCUUUGUGAUCUCACUCUCUGUUU